GACGAACGCUGGCGGCGUGCUUAACACAUGCAAGUCGAACGCUGAAGCUUGGUGCUUGCACUGGGUGGAUGAGUGGCGAACGGGUGAGUAAUACGUGAGUAACCUGCCCUUGACUCUGGGAUAAGCCUGGGAAACUGGGUCUAAUACUGGAUACGACAUGCCACUGCAUGGUGGUGUGUGGAAAGAGUUUUACUGGUUUUGGAUGGGCUCACGGCCUAUCAGCUUGUUGGUGGGGUAAUGGCCGACCAAGGCGACGACGGGUAGCCGGCCUGAGAGGGUGACCGGCCACACUGGGCCUGAGACACGGAGCAGACUCCUACGGGAGGCAGCAGUGGGGAACAUUGCACAAUGGGCGGAAGCCUGAUGCAGCGACGCCGCGUGAGGGAUGACGGCUUUCGGGUUAUAAACAUAUUUCAGAACGGAAGAAGCGAGAGUGACGGUACGUGCAGAAGAAGCGACGGCUAACUACGUG
rnacentral:rRNA from 1 species